CCCACCCCCACCUCCAUAGCAGCUGCCUCCACAAACCUGGUGGCCCAGCCCGGCAGCUGCCACCCACAGGGGAUCUGGGGCGUAGCCCACCCACCUCUCAGGCUGAACGCUGUGCUUGCCGUGGCCUGCAGGGAUUGGUCAGGAUUUGGUCCCAACUAGGGCGACCACCUGUUGUUGUCCUUCUCCAGUCCUGCCCUAGAAGCAGAGUGAGAAGAGACACUCAGCCCCCAAGGCUAGCACACAGGACCGGAACCCACUUCCCCCAGGAAGGGGUCUGUGUGAGAAGCGUGUCUGAUGUGUGAGAUGGCCGUCUGAGUCACAAAUUCCUGCUUCGUGAGGAGCCUGGCCUCAACAUGGCCACGGGGGACCUGGAGGUGCUGGACAGGGGUCUGGGCUGCCCCGAGGCCAUGGAGGAGCUGACCAAGUCAGUGGAGAGAUCCAGGGAAGAAUCACAGGAGGAGGAGGAGGCCGAAGGUAGUGAGAAGGCAGAAAGUAAAGAAGAGACGAGCAGCCAGGUGCAGGUGCAGGUGCAGGUGCAGGGGCCGGCUGAGGAGGAGCAGGCCCUGGAUGGGAUCGGGGACGGUGCCAGGAAGCCCUCCAAGGUGAAGGCAGAGAAGGAGCACUUGGCCGACAAGGGGGGCUCAGGAAAGGAGAGAGGGAAGACAGCUGCAGCUCCGAAGAGUGCCCCAGCUAGGAAGAAAACCAAGGGCCAGUCCCAGCCCCAGGUGAAGCCACAGCCCCGGGCACUGGGGCCCACGUUCGAUGAGCUGCCUUGGGGAGAGAUCACCCUCAACAAGUGCCUGGCGCUGGCCUCAGUUGUGGCUGUCCUCAGCAUGGCCUUCCAGGUGUUCCAGGAUGUCAUUGAUGGGGAGGAGGAGGGCCCUGAGGCUGCCCCUGCCCUGUGGGCCUGGCCAGGCAGCAGUGCCCCGAGGGACAGCAGACCCAAGCUGCCCAAGCCCAGAGACUGGGCUAAGGCGUCAGCACCAGCCGCACCUCCAGGGCCAAAGCCCCAGACUGCCGUGGUCAAGGAGGCCUCACCCAAAGAGCCGGACACAGAGGGGCAAGAAGCGGAGGGUAAGGUGAGUCCUGGCCCGGCCCCAGAAGCAGCCGUUCUGCCUGAGGACCCCCGCCCCAGCUCCAAGGUGGCCAAGCCAGAGAAGCCGCCCUGGGCAGCGCUGCCCAAGAAGGAGGAGAAGGCCAAGGACAGGAAGGGCUUCCGAGAGGACAGGGCUGAGCCCCCGUGGCGGGAAAAGAAGGAGGGCGGCCAUAGGCCGAGGCCGCGCCAAGAAGGGAAGGAGGAGGCCCCACGCAGGCCCUGGGAGCGGGAGCAGGAGCACAGGCGCCCUGGCAGGCAGGAGGACUCCAAGAGGGCCCGGGAUGGACCCCGGAGCAAGAGACAAGAGCAGAGGGGCCGCGGGGGGCGCGAGGGGCGUGAAGACAGGGACAGGUUCUUCCCCAAACAGAAGCACCGGGAAGGAAAGCGGAGGGACUGAGGAGGCCCGAGGAGGCCCGUCCCUGGCUCCCAGAGGGCACAGCCCUGCGGCCCAGCAGCCGUCGGCCCUGGCCAUCCGGCCCGGCCAUUCCACCCCUGCUCCCUGCGACGUGUGGCCACCUGGGUUCAAAUCCUGUGUGAUUUGAGCAAGACACGUCCCUGAACCUCAGCUUCUCCUCCUAGAAAAUGAGGACUGACCACCCCUGAGCGACUGUGACCGCGGAGGGGAUUGCCGUGGGGGGGAUCGCCGCGGAGGGCUGCGGGGGAGUGUGCAGCCUCUCUGGGUGGCCGAGAGCUGCCACCAUGGCUGCGCCCCCAGCCCCUCCCCCAGCCUCCCGAGGCUGGUUCAGUUCCAGGUGCACGGUCUGAGUUUGUUAUAAAGUGAAUGUUUAAAAAUAAAAACACCGUCGUUCAGGC
ensembl:lncRNA